UGGCUCUCUGCCAUUGACAGGUUCCACCCACUUGGCCAGCAGGUUUACCAUAUCCUGCUGCCCCCGGGCCCCCACAGUUCUAUCAUAUGGUUCCCUGAUUGGGAAUGGCAGAUGAGAGACUCCUGGGGCUGGUUCCCAGUUUGAGUCCCCUGCCAUUCAGGACCAGGACUAGACUGCAUCCUGCAUUAAUUCCUCACUUCUACACUCAGGAGCUGUAAGCUUGUCGCUGCUGGUUUGCAAACAACACUGACCAAUUUACCACAGGUGCACCGCACUCAGCCCCAGAAGUUCAACAUGAAGUUUCAAGUAUUGCUCCACUGCAGUGUACAGUUCCAGAGGCUUCAGCUCCAUUUUCUAAGGCAUCCAUGAAAAGUCACGGACUGUCAGUGCGUUCAGCUCUUUAAUGCAUGGAGUAACGUGGUAUUCUGAAACCUCCCAAACGGGAAGCCAGGCCGAAGCAGAGUAACAAAGAGCCUUUCACACCGAGGAGCAAGGAGCGGACCCCGCUGUGUGUAAAGCCUCCCCUGUGCCCCCAGCCCCCAGCUGCAGAUCUGCAGGAGGAGGGUUUUUGUGCUCAGAACCCUGGGAGUACUUUGCAGUCACUUCGGGAGGCUCGUGCCUCUGCUCACUGGCCGGAUCUUCUAUUGAAGAGCUAUUGGGGAAGCCUCGCAGGGUUUCAUGAGUUUGCUCUUUGGGACCUGAGUCUUUUCCUUGAAGACUCAGCCAGCAUUGGCCCUUGGGAGACACACGUCGUCGGUGUGGCCGCACUGUUUAUCAAACACUGCAGUCCUCCUCCUGGAUGGGAUAAUAGUUCAUGCAAUAAGCACUAAAAUUAAUUAAUUGUUUGCCGCACAUAUGGGUUUUCUCAUCAACCUUGUGCUACUUUAUUGCAACACACUUUGUUUUGCUUCUCUGG